AUGCAAUCUGCCAAGGAGCUCGUCCUCCGCUGCCUAUGGCUCUGCACGGAGGCGGAAGCCGAGCCCGAUCACGCCCUCGCCGCCAGCGACGGCCUGCAGGCGUUCGCCCCCGCCGCCAGCGAGGGCCUGCAGGCGUUCGCCCUCGGCCUGAACAAGCGCCUCGCCGACGACGACGCCGGCAGGAGCGGCAACCUGGUCACGUCGCCGCUGUCCGUCUACGCGGCGCUGGCGCUGGUAGCCGCCGGCGCCCGCGAGGGCACCCUCGACGAGCUGCUCCGCGUCCUUGGCGCGCCUUCCCGGGACUUCCUCGCCGGCCACGUCCGCGCGCUGGCAGAGCAUGCCCUCGCCGACGGGUCCCGGACGGGCGGCCCGCGCGUCAGCUUCGCCUGCAGCGUGUGGCACGACGUGACGAUGCCCCUCCGCCCCGCCUACCGCGCCACCGCCGCCGAGUCGUACAAGGCCGUCGCCUGCGCCGUCAACUUCCUCCAAAAGCCGGAGGAGGCAAGGGAGCAGAUCAACGCAUGGGUGGCGGCUGCGACGAACGACCUCAUCCCCUCCAUCCUCAGCCCCGACGCGCUGUCCAGCCGCACCGUCCUGGUGCUCGCUAACGCCAUCUACUUCAAGGGCAUGUGGGCGAAGCCGUUCGACAAGGAGCUCACCAAGGACGACAAGUUCCACCGCCUCGACGGCACCGCCGUGGACGCGCCCUUCGUGCGCGGCUUGGGCUGGCACGACAUCGCCUGCCACGACGGCUUCAAGGUGCUCCAGCUCCGCUACGUGCAAGGCCACUCCUCGCAGGGCCAGCCGCCGAUCUACUCGAUGUGUGUCUUCCUCCCCGACGCACGCGACGGGCUGUGGGAGCUCACCGACAAGAUCGCCUGCAACCCCGACUUUGUGCGCAAGCACCUGCCGUGUGGCGAUGUCAUGGUCAGCGAUUUCCGGCUGCCUAAAUUCAAGGUCAACUUUGGCAUGAAAAUGGAGGGCAUUCUCCAGGACAUGGGCCUCAACGAGGCGUUCGAGCCGGGGAAGGCCGACUUGUCCGACAUGGCGGAAGACGGCGCAAGGAAGCUGGCGCUGGAGAAAGUAAUCCACAGGGCCGUCAUCGAGGUGAACGAGGAAGGCACCGAGGCCGCGGCUGCCACCGUUGAGACUGUGACGUUAUGUUCUUGGAAAACUAGUGAUGCGCCGCAUGUGGACUUCGUGGCUGACCAUCCGUUUGGCUUCUUCGUCAUCGAGGAGGUGUCCGGUGCUACCCUGUUCGCGGGGCACGUCCUUGACCCCACGACCAACUGA
rnacentral:rRNA from 1 species